rnacentral:ribozyme from 1 species
AGAAGAGAAGGAAAAAGAAAGAUAAAAAGGAGAGGGAGUUUAAGCAAGCCUCGCUCUACCUUUCCAAUUGGUUUUCUUCCCCCUUUUUUCUUUCUUUCUUUCUUUACUCUUUCUGUUUC